AUGCCGCAGCUCGGGAGGUGCCCAUCUCAACCGUUCCACAUCUCCCCCUGGACGUUCAUGCUCCUCUGGUGUACAUUCAGUUCAUGUUGUAGCUAUGGUCAUUCUAUUAUGAUUUUCAGCUCAUCUUGUGUGGUUUCUUUCUUCAGCCCCAAGUGGCAAAUUUGUUCUGUAGCAUAUGGUAUCAUUGAGCUGCACUUGUGUGUACUGUCCCUCUUCCCCUGCCUCCUCAAGCGCCGCUGCUGUCUUGUGCUUGUUGUUCGACAAGUGUUUGUCUUAAUGCUUAGAGAAGAGACUUGUUUUCUGUACUAA
rnacentral:rRNA from 1 species